UACGUAGGGUGCAAGCGUUAAUCGGAAUUACUGGGCGUAAAGCGUGCGUAGGCGGCUAUGUAAGACAGAUGUGAAAUCCCUGGGCUUAACCUAGGAACUGCAUUUGUGACUGCAUUGCUAGAGUGUGGUAGAGGGAGAUGGAAUUCCGCAUGCAGCAGUGAAAUGCGUAGAUAUGCGGAGGAACACCAAUGGCGAAGGCAAUCUCCUGGACCUGCACUGACGCUCAUGCACGAAAGCGUGGGGAGCAAACAGG
rnacentral:rRNA from 1 species